GGCAGCCAGGGAUGUGGCUCAGGGGUAAAGUACAUGCCUGGCAUGCAUGAAACCUGGGUUCGAUCCCCAGCACUGCCA